GUGGUAAUGCCGGAUGCUCCAGUUGAUCGCAUGGUCUUCUGGGAAAGCCUUUGCGGCAUGGGAUGGGGUCGCGUCCUAUCAGCUUGAUGGCGGGGUAACGGCCCACCAUGGCUUCGACGGGUAGCCGGCCUGAGAGGGCGACCGGCCACAUUGGGACUGAGAUACGGCCCAGACUCCUACGGGAGGCAGCAGUGGGGAAUAUUGCACAAUGGGCGCAAGCCUGAUGCAGCGACGCCGCGUGAGGGAUGGAGGCCUUCGGGUUGUAAACCUCUUUUGUUAGGGAGCAAGGCAUUUUGUGUUGAGUGUACCUUUCGAAUAAGCACCGGCUAACUACGUGCCAGCAGCCGCGGUAAUACGUAGGGUGCAAGCGUUAUCCGGAAUUAUUGGGCGUAAAGGGCUCGUAGGCGGUUCGUCGCGUCCGGUGUGAAAGUCCAUCGCUUAACGGUGGAUCCGCGCCGGGUACGGGCGGGCUUGAGUGCGGUAGGGGAGACUGGAAUUCCCGGUGUAACGGUGGAAUGUGUAGAUAUCGGGAAAGAAACACC
rnacentral:rRNA from 1 species